UGUUGAGCUGAAAAUCAUGCUAUUAUUUUGUUUUUGUUUAUGACUGAAUGAUGAUUUAAUUCAAUUUUGGGUAAAAAUUUUGAUCAAUAUAUUGAUUUUAUGAAUAAUAAAUCAUAUGUUUAUAUCAAGUUAGUAUACAGAAAAUUGACCAUUAUCAAUGUGCACCUUGCUAGAAAAUAUUUUUCAGCUGGUUUCUUAUAGUACAGCCAAAUGGCAGAAAAUAAUUUGUUUUCUCAGAAAAUAUUUCCCUUAGAAAACAUUUUGCACAAACAAGUUAUUUUAUGUGAAACAAAUGGAGCCUUAUUCUUCAAAUAGUUCGACAAAUCAAAUUAACCACUUUUUAUAUGGGCUCAAGUUUCUGAUUUUAGGAUACUUUUAUGCUGCCUUACUUGGACCUAAUAUCACAUUUUCUAAUGUUGCAACUCUUCAACAUGAAGGAAUUAACUUACUUUUGAUCUCUAAAUAAGGCUGCAAUGUGUAAAUUAUUUUCAGCAUGAAAUCUGCUUUUCAUGGCAACUCUUGUAUGUAGCAUGGAAACGGAAAGGGAGAAAUGGCAUUUUCUAAAAUUGUAGGAAACAGAAAUGUGGGGGAAACAUGUAAAUAUAAA
rnacentral:misc_RNA from 1 species